UGGAUGUCAUCCAUGUUAACUUUCGAUGCCAGUUUCUGCACCUACCAUGGUGACCACUUAUAACCAGGGUUCCAUUCCUUACAGGGACCCUGAGAAACAGCUACCACAUGCAAGGAAGGCAGCAGGCGCGCAAAUGACCCACUCCCGACGCGGGAAGGUUGUGA